rnacentral:rRNA from 1 species
GACGAACGCUGGCGGCGUGCUUAACACAUGCAAGUCGAACGGAAAGGCCCUGCUUUUGUGGGGUUCUCGAGUGGCGAACGGGUGAGUAACACGUGAGUAACCUGCCCUUGACUUUGGGAUAACUUCAGGAAACUGGGGCUACUACCGGAUAGGAGCUCCUGCUGCAUGGUGGGGGUUGGAAAGUUUCGGCGGUCGGGGAUGGACUCGCGGCUUAUCAGCUUGUUGGUGGGGUAGUGGCUUACCAAGGCUUUGACGGGUAGCCGGCCUGAGAGGGUGACCGGGCACAUGGCGACUGAGAUACGGACCAGUCUCCUACGGGAGGCAGCAGUGGGGAAUAUGGCACAAUGGGCGGAAGCCUGAUGCAGCAACGCCGCGUGCGGGAUGACGGCCUUCGGGUUGUAAACCGCUUUCGCCUGUGACGAAGCGUGAGUGACGGUAAUGGGUAAAGAAGCACCGGCUAACUACGUG